GGGAAGUAGAUAUUGAAGGUUAUAUGGUUUACAGACAAGAUCUUUAAAAGAUAGGCACUCCAGGACCAAGGAAAUAAAUACCAGAAGCCAAGAGCACAGAAUAUUUUCCUUCAUCAAUCCACAAACCCUGAUACUUCUCUAAUUCCAUCAAACACAAAGGAAUGAUCACC
rnacentral:lncRNA from 1 species